AUGAUGUCUUCCAAGAGCCCAAGACGCUGCUGCCACAUCGCGUGUUCGAUCACGCAAUUCUGCUUGAGCCGAGGCUCCGCCACCCAACACACUCUCGUACCGCUAUUCACCACUCACGAACGACGAGAUCAAGCGUCAGCCGUUUGCUGCUUCGGUGUUCCUCGUCAAGAAGGACGAUACCUGGCGGUUCUGCAUCGACUACCGCUGCCUCAACACAUUACCGUGAAGAAAAAGUUUCUGAUGCCGAUCGUCAACGAGCUCCUUAACGAAUUGGCCGGUGAGCGCUAUUUCUCCAAGGUCGACCUUCGUGCCAAGUAUCAUCAGAUACGCACGUGCCCAGGCGACGAGGCCGAGCCGGCGUUCAAGACCGACCAUGGCCACUUCCAAUUUCGGUGA
rnacentral:rRNA from 1 species